UGGGGAAUAUUGGGGCAAUGGGGCGCAAGCCUGACCCAGCAACGCCGCGUGAAGGAAGAAGGCUUUCGGGUUGUAAACUUCUUUUGUCAGGGACGAGUAGAAGACGGUACCUGACGAAUAAGCCACGGCUAACUACGUGCCAGCAGCCGCGGUAAUACGUAGGGGGCAAGCGUUAUCCGGAUUUACUGGGUGUAAAGGGAGCGUAGACGGCGAUGCAAGUCUGAAGUGAAAGCCCCGGGCUCAACCUGGGUACUGCUUUGGAAACUGUAUUGCUGGAGUGCUGGAGAGGUAAGCGGAAUUCCUAGUGUAGCGGUGAAAUGCGUAGAUAUUAGGAGGAACACCAGUGGCGAAGGCGGCUUACUGGACAGUAACUGACGUUGAGGCUCGAAAGCGUGGGGAGCAAACAGGAUUAGAUACCCUGGUAGU
rnacentral:rRNA from 1 species